rnacentral:rRNA from 1 species
UACGUAGGAGACGAGCGUUGCCCGGAGUUACUGGGCGUAAAGGGUGCGCAGGCGGCCUGGCGCGUCGCGAGUGAAAUCUCCUGGCUCAACUGGGAGGGUGGUCGCGAGACGGCUGGGCUUGAGGCUCGGUGAGGGGCGUGGAAUUCCGGGUGGAGCGGUGAAAUGCGUAGAGAUCCGGAGGAACACCGACGGCGUAGGCAGCGCCCUAGACGAGACCUGACGCUCAGGCACGAAAGCGCGGGGAGCGAACAGG